UUGGGACUGAGACACGGCCCAAACUCCUACGGGAGGCAGCAGUGGGGAAUAUUGCACAAUGGGGGAAACCCUGAUGCAGCGACGCCGCGUGAGCGAAGAAGUAUUUCGGUAUGUAAAGCUCUAUCAGCAGGGAAGAAAAUGACGGUACCUGACUAAGAAGCACCGGCUAAAUACGUGCCAGCAGCCGCGGUAAUACGUAUGGUGCAAGCGUUAUCCGGAUUUACUGGGUGUAAAGGGAGCGUAGACGGAUGGGCAAGUCUGAUGUGAAAACCCGGGGCUCAACCCCGGGACUGCAUUGGAAACUGUUCAUCUAGAGUGCUGGAGAGGUAAGUGGAAUUCCUAGUGUAGCGGUGAAAUGCGUAGAUAUUAGGAGGAACACCAGUGGCGAAGGCGGCUUACUGGACAGUAACUGACGUUGAGGCUCGAAAGCGUGGGGAGCAAACAGGAUUAGAUACCCUGGUAGUCCACGCCGUAAACGAUGACUACUAGGUGUCGGGUGGCAAAGCCAUUCGGUGCCGCAGCAAACGCAAUAAGUAGUCCACCUGGGG
rnacentral:rRNA from 1 species